rnacentral:rRNA from 1 species
CGCGUAGGCGGGGAGGUAAGUCGGGUGUGAAAUCCCUCGGCCCAACCGAGGAACUGCGCCCGAGACUGCUUCUCUUGAGUCCCGGAGAGGAAGAUGGAAUUCCCGGUGUAGCGGUGAAAUGUGUAGAGAUCGGGAGGAACGCCGGUGGCGAAGGCGGUCUUCUGGACGGUGACUGACGCUGAGGCGCGAAAGCGUGGGGAGCAAACG